AGGGCACCACCAGGAGUGGAGCCUGCGGCUUAAUUUGACUCAACACGGGAAAUCUCACCAGGCCCGGACACUGGAAGGAUUGACAGAUUGAGAGCUCUUUCUCGAUUCGGUGGGUGGUGGUGCAUGGCCGUUCUUAGUUGGUGGAGUGAUUUGUCUGGUUAAUUCCGAUAACGAACGAGACUCUGUCCUGCUAAAUAGUUCCCGCGUCCUUUGUUGCGCGGGAAAUUCUUCUUAGAGGGACUGGCGGCGUCUAGCCGCACGAGAUUGAGCAGUAACAGGUCUGUGAUGCCCUUAGAUGUUCUGGGCCGCACGCGCGCUACACUGAAGGGAUCAGCGUGUCUUCCCUUCCCGAGAGGGACGGGUAACCCGCUGAACCCCCUUCGUGGUAGGGAUCGGGGCUUGCAAUUAUUCCCCGUGAACCAGGAAUUCCCAGUAAGCGCAAGUCAUAAGCUUGCGUUGAUUACGUCCCUGCCCUUUGUACACACCGCCCGUCGCUACUACCGAUUGAACGUUUUAGUG
rnacentral:rRNA from 1 species